rnacentral:rRNA from 1 species
UGGGGAAUUUUGGACAAUGGGGGAAACCCUGAUCCAGCCAUCCCGCGUGUGCGAUGAAGGCCUUCGGGUUGUAAAGCACUUUUGGCAGGAAAGAAACGUCAUGGGUUAAUACCCCGUGAAACUGACGGUACCUGCAGAAUAAGCACCGGCUAACUACGUGCCAGCAGCCGCGGUAAUACGUAGGGUGCAAGCGUUAAUCGGAAUUACUGGGCGUAAAGCGUGCGCAGGCGGUUCGGAAAGAAAGAUGUGAAAUCCCAGAGCUCAACUUUGGAACUGCAUUUUUAACUACCGGGCUAGAGUGUGUCAGAGGGAGGUGGAAUUCCGCGUGUAGCAGUGAAAUGCGUAGAUAUGCGGAGGAACACCGAUGGCGAAGGCAGCCUCCUGGGAUAACACUGACGCUCAUGCACGAAAGCGUUGGGAGCAAACAGG